UAAUAAACUGUUACCUUGGCAGCUGAACUAGCAGCAUGGCCUAGCAAAGCCCACAAAACCUCAGUUGAUUAUUCCAGGAACACAGCUGUGGAACACCCCAGCCAUUAAGCAGCUACUCAACUUCUCUGGAAUUCAGACCCCUCCCUGCAACACUUGGGGCUCUUGGAGAUUCAUUUUCCAGUCCGCAAAGGGAAGAUCAAAAGAAAAACCGUAAGGAAAUGGACAGAUGUGGGAGAGCAUGGCAGCGAGCUCUUGGCUGGUGAAAAAAGAAAUGAAUAUCCAUAUGACCUCAUCUGUACACACGGGCAGACUGGCCUACACUCGCCUAAUGGGGAGAGCAUCCCAAGCUUACCACGUUUGGCUAAUGCUGGAGUCUGUGCUGGAAAGACUGUACAGUAUCUCUGUGAGACCAGUGAGGACACACAUGAGGAGGAGCCUCCGGGAUGACUGACCAAUGUCUCCUCAUGAAUCAGUACUCUGACCUCUCCAUGAACGGGCUUUGAGCAUGGUAGAAUGCAACUAUUUAUUUUGGUCUGCUUAAAUAAACAGAAGAUGAGUUAAUCUUAAUCUAUUGAUAAUGAAAAAGAUAU
rnacentral:lncRNA from 1 species